CAAAUUCAGUCAACCAGUCUAAAUAUAUUGAAUUUAAAUCAUACAAUAAGAUGCUCCCAUAAAAACUCUCUCUCGCCCUCUCUCUCUCUCUCUCUCUGUCUCACGCACACACACACACACACACACACACACACACACACACACACACACACACACACACACACACACACACACACACAGGGAGAGAAAAUCAAGUUUCUAGGUCAGUCAAGCAGCCUGGGAGCUGCUAAAUUUGAAUCCACCAAUCAGAGAGGCUGUGUACUUUUUCCCGCCAAAACUGGUGCACUAAGUUCAGGCCUUUACACAUGCAGCACAGAGAGAGACAGGAUUUUUGCAGUCUAUUUCUCAUAGUGAGAAUUCCCCUCAAACAAACAGCCAUAAAUUUCUAACCGUAGGGGCUAAAACAGUCAUUCUUAGACCAUUU
ensembl:lncRNA